AAUAAAUAACAAUGCCGGGCCUUUGUAGGUCUGGCAAUUGGAAUGAGAACAAUUUAAAUCCCUUAUCGAGUAUCAAUUGGAGGGCAAGUCUGGUGCCAGCAGCCGCGGUAAUUCCAGCUCCAAUAGCGUAUAUUAAAGUUGUUGCAGUUAAAAAGCUCGUAGUUGGAUUUGUGGCUGUCGCUAGUGGCCUGUUACUUAGUGACAGUGCUUGCUGGCGUCGCCAUCCUUGGGUGGAGCCUGUGUGGCAUUAGGUUGUCGUGCAGGGGAUGCCCAUCGUUUACUGUGAGAAAAUUAGAGUGUUCAAAGCAGGCUUAUGCCGUUGAAUAUGUUAGCAUGGAAUAAUAAGAUAGGACCUUGGUACUAUUUUGUUGGUUUGCGCACCGAGGUAAUGAUUAAUAGGGACAGUUGGGGGUAUUCGUAUUCCAUUGUCAGAGGUGAAAUUCUUGGAUUUCUGGAAGACGAACUACUGCGAAAGCAUUUACCAAGGAUGUUUUCAUUAAUCAAGAACGAAAGUUAGGGGAUCGAAGAUGAUUAGAUACCAUCGUAGUCUUAACCAUAAACUAUGCCGACAAGGGAUUGGUGGAGUUUCAUUUUGUCUCCAUCAGCACCUU
rnacentral:rRNA from 1 species